GAGUGGCGCACGGGUGCGUAACGCGUGAGCAACCUACCUCUAUCAGGGGGAUAGCCUCUCGAAAGAGAGAUUAACACCGCAUAACAUAUCUGACCGGCAUCGGUUGGAUAUUAAAUAUUUAUAGGAUAGAGAUGGGCUCGCGUGACAUUAGCUAGUUGGUAGGGUAACGGCUUACCAAGGCGACGAUGUCUAGGGGCUCUGAGAGGAGAAUCCCCCACACUGGUACUGAGACACGGACCAGACUCCUACGGGAGGCAGCAGUAAGGAAUAUUGGUCAAUGGGCGGAAGCCUGAACCAGCCAUGCCGCGUGCAGGAUGACUGCCCUAUGGGUUGUAAACUGCUUUUGUCCAGGAAUAAACCUUUCUACGUGUAUGAAGCUGAAUGUACUGGAAGAAUAAGGAUCGGCUAACUCCGUGCCAGCAGCCGCGGUAAUACGGAGGAUCCGAGCGUUAUCCGGAUUUAUUGGGUUUAAAGGGUGCGUAGGCGGCCUAUUAAGUCAGGGGUGAAAUACGGUGGCUCAACCAUCGCAGUGCCUUUGAUACUGAUGGGCUUGAAUCCAUUUGAAGUGGGCGGAAUAAGACAAGUAGCGGUGAAAUGCAUAGAUAUGUCUUAGAACUCCGAUUGCGAAGGCAGCUCACUAAGCUGGUAUUGACGCUGAUGCACGAAAGCGUGGGGAUCGAACAGGAUUAGAUACCCUGGUAGUCCACGCCUAAACGAUGAUAACUCGAUGUUGGCGAUAGACAGCCAGCGUCCAAGCGAAAGCGUUAAGUUAUCCACCUGGGGAGUACGCCCGCAAGGGUGAAACUCAAAGGAAUUGACGGGGGCCCGCACAAGCGGAGGAGCAUGUGGUUUAAUUUGAUGAUACGCGAGGAACCUUACCCGGGCUUGAAAGUUAGUGAAGAGUGCAGAGACGCACUCGUCCUUCGGGACACGAAACUAGGUGCUGCAUGGCUGUCGUCAGCUCGUGCCGUGAGGUGUUGGGUUAAGUCCCGCAACGAGCGCAACCCCUAUGUUUAGUUGCCAGCAUGUAAUGGUGGGGACUCUAAACAGACUGCCUGUGCAAACAGAGAGGAAGGUGGGGACGACGUCAAGUCAUCAUGGCCCUUACGUCCGGGGCUACACACGUGCUACAAUGGAUGGUACAGCGGGCAGCUACAUAGCAAUAUGAUGCUAAUCUCUAAAAGCCAUUCACAGUUCGGAUUGGGGUCUGCAACUCGACCCCAUGAAGUUGGAUUCGCUAGUAAUCGCGUAUCAGCAAUGACGCGGUGAAUACGUUCCCGGGCCUUGUACACACCGCCCGUCAAGCCAUGAAAGUUGGGGGUACC
rnacentral:rRNA from 1 species